rnacentral:rRNA from 1 species
UGGGGAAUAUUGCACAAUGGGCGCAAGCCUGAUGCAGCCAUGCCGCGUGUGUGAAGAAGGCCUUAGGGUUGUAAAGCACUUUCAGCGAGGAGGAAGGGUGAUGUGUUAAUAGCGCAUCACAUUGACGUUACUCGCAGAAGAAGCACCGGCUAACUCCGUGCCAGCAGCCGCGGUAAUACGGAGGGUGCAAGCGUUAAUCGGAAUUACUGGGCGUAAAGCGCACGCAGGCGGUUUGUUAAGUCAGAUGUGAAAUCCCCGAGCUUAACUUGGGAACUGCAUUUGAAACUGGCAAGCUAGAGUCUUGUAGAGGGGGGUAGAAUUCCAGGUGUAGCGGUGAAAUGCGUAGAGAUCUGGAGGAAUACCGGUGGCGAAGGCGGCCCCCUGGACAAAGACUGACGCU